rnacentral:lncRNA from 1 species
AAGUGCAAAGAUAAAGUUAGAGAACUGUGGUGGCAUGUCGGAGUAAAUAACGAGCGACCGGCCAGUGAAAAUAGUUAGAGACACCUCCGAACAAAUAGCGACUUAAAAUCUCAUUGUUGCCAAAUGAGUGAACUUGCAUUAAAAUGUCUUGGGAUAAUACACAUUUAUGUUUGAUUGAAUCGUCUAAAACGUUUUAUUGGUUUUUCUUCAAAAACUUGCACAGGAACAAGCCCUUAAGAAAUGUUUUUAUGUUAUGAAAUGGAUAGUGUGAUGAAUUCAUAUGUUUCUGUAUAAUGAUAUAUAUAUAUACUAUGUCAUAAAUGGUACCAUUGUGUGGCAAAUGCAACCGUGCAUGUGCGGAGUGGGCAGUGCACAUGUUGGUAAUGAUUCUGUCGUGAUAAUUACAACCGUGCAUGUGUGAAGUGGGCAGUGUGCAUGUCGGUAAUGAUGAUGUCGUGAUAAUUACAACCGUGCAUGUGAGGAAUGGGCAGUGCACAUGCUGAUAAUGAUGCUAUUGUUAUAAUUACAACCGUGCAUGUGCAGAGUAGGCAGUGCACAUGCCGGUGAUGAUGUACAUGAGCUGGAUGAGGUGUGGUGCUAUGUUAAUUGAUAUAUGCUUAAGCAUAUGUAUAUGCAAUAGAAAGAUUAUGAUUAUAAUAUGUGAUUAUAUGGCAUGAUAAAUCUUGAAAAUUUCCCAUUUACAUGUGAAUUGAUUUUAUUGCAACAAGAACAUUCUAUUUAUACUGCCUUGCUUGGAUGAUUGUUGGAAAUUUCCUUCCUUUUUGAUUUCCUGCUAAAUAUGGUUCCUUCAUUAUGAAAUGAUUUAAUAACCCGGGGUUGAUGGAAGGAUUUUAAUAAGAACUUGAACUAGGUUGCACUGUUUUCGAACUUAAGUGCAUCAUGAUUUCUAAAUCAUUCCUUGUAAUUGCUUGUUCCCUUCCUAUGUUCACUCACUGAGUUUAUACUCACGUUUUCAACUUCAUGUUUUCAGAUUCAAGGGUGGUUGAGACGUAGAUUGAGGUGUUCGUGUACUCCCAUCUUUUGGGCAAGUACUUUGACAUUCAGUAGUCAUAUCUCCCAUCCAGAGUCACUCCGCUGACGGUCAAGGUCUAAUCAUGUGUAUAUGAAUACUUGGUGUGAAAUAUUAAGAAUCAUUUGUUACUCUAUCUAUAAAUAUAUAGGUGGAUGAUGCCAUUAUGAAUGUAUGAUUGAGUUUUAUGAAUUAUUUUUAAACGAAC